CUCUCAUCAAGAGCCGGCGGAGGGACGAGCCCGAUGAAGCCCAGCAACCGACCGUAAUGCCAUCGCGAGAUGGGGCGCCCGAUAAGAUCAGGGAGCCGUGGUCCAUAACCACGAAGGCACGGUGCUAAUUCUUGCAGCGAAUCAGCUGAGAGAUGGGAG
rnacentral:ncRNA from 1 species